rnacentral:lncRNA from 1 species
CAAGUUGAUGAGAUUCCAUCACCGUGAAUGUUCUCCUGAAACCAUAACCUUUCAGAAUAAGCAGAGUCUGUAAUUUAUUGGAUAGUUUAUUUACAGAAUGUUGUCCAUACCAACACCCCUUCAGGAAAUGGAAUUAGACAACAUAGUAGUAUGAUUUAAUAGCAAGACUUGGCCGAGUAUGGUGGUGUGCAUCUUUAAUCCCAGAACUCUGGAGGCAGGUGGAGCUCUGAUUUAAGAGGCCCCUGGUCUACAGAGGCAGGUCAGGUCAGUGGGUCUGUGUAAAGGUUCCUCUGGUGAACCAUUCCUUUGUAGGACGUUAAAAUCUGUACUAAAAGGUUAUGAUUCAUGGAAUCUGUUUGAUGUGGAAAUAGAAUCAUGGUUGGAGCUGAUGUUGGCGAUUUAAGACCUGCUGACUAAGUGAGUGAACAAAAUUUGCUAAUAUCAAUUAGUGCCCUGCAUGCCUUUCCUUUACCCUGACUCAUUCCUUACGGGUAGGAUCAAUCUUUUCAGUAUUUGCAUUCUGGUUCAAUUAGCCAGAAAAGGAACUUUGUAGUGUCAGAAUGUCAUCCAACUGUAUAUUUACUUUAUUGUAAAUAAUGGUGAACAGUGGUCAAUAAAUAGUUUUAUAUUCCUUUAAAAAAAAAAAAAAGAAGAAAA